GGGAAACUCAAAGGAAUAGACGGGGACCCGCGACAAGCAGCGGAGCAUGUGGUUUAAUUCGAAGCAACGCGAAGAACCGUUACCAGGUCUUGACAUCCUCUGACGAGCCUAGAGAUAGGAAGUUCCUUCGGGGACAGAGAGACAGGUGGUGCAUGGUUGUCGUCAGCUCGUGUCGUGAGAUGUUGGGUUAAGUCCCGCAACGAGCGCAACCCCUGUCAAUAGUUGCCAUCAUUGAGUUGGGCACUCUAUUGAGACUGCCGUAGACAAUACGGAGGAAGGUGGGGAUGACGUCAAAUCAUCAUGCCCCUUAUGACCUGGGCUACACACGUGCUACAAUGGUCUGAACAGAGGGUUGCGAAGCCGCGAGGUGGAGCUAAUCCCAGAAAACAGAUCCCAGUUCGGAUUGCAGGCUGCAACUCGCCUGCAUGAAGUUGGAGUUGCUAGUAAUCGCGGAUCAGAAUGCUGCGGUCGAAUCGCGUUCCCGGGUCUUCGUACACACCCGUCGACGCGGCCG
rnacentral:rRNA from 1 species